rnacentral:lncRNA from 1 species
UCGUUGAGCUCGCGAACAUGUUCGAAUUCAAUUGUUCGCGAACAUGUUCGCGAGCCUGUUCACGAACCUUCAGUCGAGCCUUCAAUCGAGUUAGUACGCGAGCCUUAAACGAGUCGAACUCGAACUCGAAUAACAUAUUAAUUAAAAAGAUUUUCUUAAAUUUAUAACAAAUUCGAGCUUGAACACCAUAUAUACGAACAUCUAACGAGCCGAGCUCGAGCUUAAGCUCGAAUUCGACAUUAUCGAGCAUCACCCGAGCCGAACUCGAACCGAGCUCGAGCUUAGUAUGUGGGUGACGAGCCGAGCUCGAUCAUCAAGAUAAAAGCUCGAAUCGAGCUCGAGCCGAGCUCGAACACCCGAAUAUUUAAACGAGCCGAGCUCGAGCCUGCUUGUAUUCG